AGAGUUUGAUCAUGGCUCAGGACGAACGCUGGCGGCGUGCUUAACACAUGCAAGUCACGGGGGCCCGCAAGGGCAACCGGCGAACGGGUGCGUAACACGUGAGCAACCUACCUCGAUGUGGGGGAUAGCCGGCCCAACGGCCGGGUAAUACCGCAUACGAUUCUUUGGGGGAGUCCCCAGGGAAGGAAACCUCCGGGGCAUUGAGAGGGGCUCGCGGCCUAUCAGCUAGUUGGCGAGGUAACGGCUCACCAAGGCGACGACGGGUAGCUGGUCUGAGAGGAUGGCCAGCCACAUUGGGACUGAGAGACGGCCCAGACUCCUACGGGAGGCAGCAGUGGGGAAUCUUGCGCAAUGGCCGAAAGGCUGACGCAGCGACGCCGCGUGUGGGAUGAAGCAUUUCGGUGUGUAAACCACUGUUGCCCGGGACGAACAGCUUCUUUCGAGGAGCCUGACGGUACCGGGUGAGGAAGCACCGGCUAACUCCGUGCCAGCAGCCGCGGUAAUACGGAGGGUGCGAGCGUUGUCCGGAAUCACUGGGCGUAAAGGGCGCGUAGGCGGCGCAGACAGUCAACGGUGAAAGCUUGGGGCUCAACCCCGAGUCGGCCGUCGAUACUUCUGGGCUUGAGCACUGUAGAGGCAGGUGGAAUUCCGGGUGUAGCGGUGGAAUGCAGAGAUCCGGAAGAACACCGGUGGCGAAGGCGGCCUGCUGGGCAGUAGCUGACGCUGAGGCGCGACAGCGUGGGGAGCAAACAGGAUUAGAUACCCUAGUAGUCC
rnacentral:rRNA from 1 species